rnacentral:rRNA from 1 species
GCCAGCAGCCAUGUCAUCCUGCAGCUCCCAGCUGGCAGCCCACUGAAGCUCAGCAGGUGUGAGCCUGGUCAGUACCUGGAUGGGAGACCUCCUGGGAAGAACUUUUGGUUGCUGCUGGAA